rnacentral:rRNA from 1 species
CGUGUAGGCGGGGACACAAGUCAGAUGUGAAAUACCGUGGCUUAACCACGGGGCUGCAUCUGAAACUGUGUUUCUUGAGUGUCGGAGAGGAAAGUGGAAUUCCCAGUGUAGCGGUGAAAUGCGUAGAUAUUGGGAGGAACACCAGUGGCGAAGGCGACUUUCUGGACGAUAACUGACGCUGAGGCGCGAAAGCGUGGGGAGCAAACA